GUUUAAUAACGUGGGCAUAAAAUUAUGUUAACAUAUGAAGAUAUGGACAAUUGCAAUGUGGAAAGAGUUAAAACAAAACCAAAUGGUUAAUACAGAAAGGGAAACGGCAGUCGUUUUAUGUAAAUUCACUUUUCAAUCGGGCGUGAGAAAGGUCAACGUGACUGUCACAAAACGGGCCGACAAGUCGAAGAAAUGCACUCGCAUGCGAUUCCAGCGUCUAUCUACAAGUGAUGCUUGUUUACCUCGUCCGGGAGCUGCUUUUCUUUUCAACGGGGAAUGGACGCCCUCUGCUGGCCACAUGCCUCAACAACUCUCGUCUCCAAACUCCCGAAAUCAAUGGAAAAAAAAAAAUGAACAAAAUAAGGUACGGUAUUUGCAGCCUUCAUUUGCGUGGAAUUCGGCAUCAUUACCUCAAAGUGUUGCCAGCUGCAAGUGCUUGGGAGUUCUCAUUUGAACUCGAUGUGUGGUUUGUGAAAACGGAGAAGCGAGCGGCCAAAACCUGGAAACCUACGAUAAAAAAAAGGUUUGCUUUGACCAGCUGGAUAUUCAGGAGCAGCACCCUCGUGCAGGUUCUUCGUCAUCCUCUCGACAUCUCUUCCUCGACGUUCCAGGCGCAGCGACCCCCUCGGUGUCUUCCGCAUCUGUGCUGGUAUCUGAACUGUUAGCGCAAAAUUCGUGCGAC